rnacentral:rRNA from 1 species
AUUGAACGCUGGCGGCAGGCUUAACACAUUCAAGUCGAGCGAGCGGCGGACGGGUGAGUAAUGUCUGGGAAACUGCCCGAUGGAGGGGGAUAACUACUGGAAACGGUAGCUAAUACCGCAUACCAUCAGAUGUGCCCAGAUGGGAUUAGCUAGUAGGGGGGGUAAUGGCUCACCUAGGCGACGAUCCCUAGCUGGUCUGAGAGGAUGACCAGCCACCCUGGAACUGAGACACGGUCCAGACUCCUACGUGAGGCAGCAGUAGGGCAUCUUCCGCAAUGGGCGAAAGCCUGAUGCAGCCAUGCCGCGUGUGUGAAGAAGGCCUUCGGGUUGUAAAGCACUUUCAGAGAGUAGGCGUUACUCGCAGAAGAGGCACAGGCUAACUCCGUGCCAGCAGCCGCGGUAAUUC